rnacentral:rRNA from 2 species
UGGGGGAUAUUGCGCAAUGGGGGCAACCCUGACGCAGCAACGCCGCGUGAAGGAUGAAGGUUUUCGGAUUGUAAACUUCUUUUAUUAAGGACGAAAAAUGACGGUACUUAAUGAAUAAGCUCCGGCUAACUACGUGCCAGCAGCCGCGGUAAAACGUAGGUCACAAGCGUUGUCCGGAAUUACUGGGUGUAAAGGGAGCGCAGGCGGGAAGACAAGUUGGAAGUGAAAUCUAUGGGCUCAACCCAUAAACUGCUUUCAAAACUGUUUUUCUUGAGUAGUGCAGAGGUAGGCGGAAUUCCCGGUGUAGCGGUGGAAUGCGUAGAUAUCGGGAGGAACACCAGUGGCGAAGGCGGCCUACUGGGCACCAACUGACGCUGAGGCUCGAAAGUGUGGGUAGCAAACAGGAUUAGAUACCCUGGUAGUCCACACCGUAAACGAUGAUUACUAGGUGUUGGAGGAUUGACCCCUUCAGUGCCGCAGUUAACACAAUAAGUAAUCCACCUGGGGAGUACGACCGCAAGGUUGAAACUCAAAGGAAUUGACGGGGGCCCGCACAAGCAGUGGAGUAUGUGGUUUAAUUCGACGCAACGCGAAGAACCUUACCAAGUCUUGACAUCCUGCGACGAUGCUGGAAACAGUAUUUUCCUUCGGGACGCAGAGACAGGUGGUGCAUGGUUGUCGUCAGCUCGUGUCGUGAGAUGUUGGGUUAAGUCCCGCAACGAGCGCAACCCUUACUGUCAGUUACUACGCAAGAGGACUCUGGCAGGACUGCCGUUGACAAAACGGAGGAAGGUGGGGAUGACGUCAAAUCAUCAUGCCCUUUAUGACUUGGGCUACACACGUACUACAAUGGCGUUAAACAAAGAGAAGCAAGACCGCGAGGUGGAGCAAAACUCAGAAACAACGUCCCAGUUCGGACUGCAGGCUGCAACUCGCCUGCACGAAGUCGGAAUUGCUAGUAAUCGUGGAUCAGCAUGCCACGGUGAAUACGUUCCC